rnacentral:rRNA from 1 species
GCCAGCAGCCAUAUCACCCUGCAAUUCACAACUGUCAGUUCACUGAAGCUCAGCAGGUGUGAGCCUGGUCAGUACCUGGAUGGGAGACCUCCUGGGAAAGCUAAGGUUGCCGCUGGUA